rnacentral:rRNA from 1 species
GUGGGGAAUCUUGCACAAUGGGGGAAACCCUGAUGCAGCGACGCCGCGUGAGCGAUGAAGCCCUUCGGGGUGUAAAGCUCUUUCGACGGGAACGAUGAUGACGGUACCCGGAGAAGAAGCUGCGGCUAACUACGUGCCAGCAGCCGCGGUAAUACGUAGGCAGCAAGCGUUGUUCGGAGUUACUGGGCGUAAAGAGUGCGUAGGCGGUUCCGUAAGUUUGUUGUGAAAUCUCCCGGCUUAACUGGGAGGGUGCGGCGAAAACUGCGGGGCUGGAGUGUGGGAGAGGUAAGCGGAAUUCCUGGUGUAGCGGUGAAAUGCGUAGAUAUCAGGAGGAACACCGGCGGUGUAGACGGCUUACUGGACCAUGACUGACGCUGAGGCACGAAAGCGUGGGGAGCAAACAGGAUUAGAUACCCGUGUAGUCC